CGAGUUGGCCGGGCGGCCGCGGCUCACCUCAGGGCGAGUCGAGGAAAGUCCGGACUUCACAGAGCAGGGUGAUUGCUAACGGCAAUCCGAGGUGACUCGCGGGACAGUGCCACAGAAAAGAAACCGCCGCCUGUAAGGGCGGUAAGGGUGAAACGGUGCGGUAAGAGCGCACCAGCAUUCCGGGUGACCGGGAUGGCUUGGUAAACCCCACCCGAAGCAAGGCCAAGAGGCCGCACCUGGUGCGGCUGCGCAGGCGUUCGAGGGCUGCUCGCCCGAGCCUGCGGGUAGGCCGCUCGAGGCACCCGGCGACGGUGUGCCCAGAUGGAUGGUCGCCGCCGCCCUGCCACGGUUACCCGGGGCGGGGCGGGACAGAAUCCGGCUUACAGGCCAACUCGUUCG
rnacentral:RNase_P_RNA from 2 species